GUGCAGCAGGCGAGAAACUUCACAAUGUGCGAAAGCACGAUGAGGGAAUCCCAAGUGCUUGCACGUAAGUGUAAGCUGUUUCUCUGUCUAAAACGCAGAGAGAGUAAGGGCUGGGUAAGACGGGUGCCAGCCGCCGCGGUAAUACCUGCAGCUCGAGUGGUGACCGUUAUUAUUGGGCCUAAAACGUCCGUAGCCGGUUUAAUAAAUGCCUGGGUAAAUCGGACCGCUUAACGGUUCGAAUUCCGGGUAGACUGUUAAACUUGAGACCGGGAGAAGUUAGAGGUACUCCUGGGGUAGAGGUGAAAUUCUGUAAUCCUAGGGGGACCACCAGUGGCGAAGGCGUCUAACUAGAACGGGUCUGACGGUGAGGGACGAAGCCCUGGGGCGCAAACGGGGAUUAGAUACCCCGGUAGU
rnacentral:rRNA from 1 species